rnacentral:tRNA from 1 species
GCCGACGUAGCUCAACGGUAGAGCACAGCUUUCGUAAAGCUGGGGUUAUGGGUUCAAAUCCCAUCGUCGGCU